UUCUUAUCAAGCAGCAAAGGUUCCCGCAUAGCGCGGGAUUAAUAGGGAAUCCGGUGUAAAUCCGGAGCUGUCCCGCAACUGUAAGUAACACAACAGUUUUUACCCUUGUUGUCCACUGUCCCGGUAGCUAUCGGGGUGGGAAGGACGGUAAAAAUGUUAUAAGUCAGGAGACCUGCCUUUACUGUAAUUGGCAA
rnacentral:ncRNA from 2 species